GCUCUGCAAACCUGGACAUUAGCCAAGCUCAAACUGAGCCUUGCUUUGCUUUGGGAAAACAUAAAGCAAAGCAAAGCUCAGUUGGAGCUUGACUAUGAAUUCAUUAAGACUAAUGU
rnacentral:precursor_RNA from 8 species